rnacentral:lncRNA from 1 species
UCUUUCCGGUAUAUUGAUUGAGCGUGGUAUUGGCGAUUGAAGGAGUUUCAUGCUUGCUGAUAGCCUUUCAAAGUCGAUCGCGUCUUUGAAUCGCACGCAUUAUCCUUCGAAAAGGAAUGCUCCUACGUGUCCCCUCCAUAUCAAUUUGGCUUAGAUGGCCGGUUGGGUUGGUCCAACCAAGAAAGGCAUGGGAGUCUUUGGGCAUUGCUUGAGCUAAGUCAAGCUUUUUCCAAGUUAAGUAAAGACUGGCUACCUAGAAACUAAACAAGAAAGAUGAAAACUUCCGUCACUGCACAUUUUCUAUAUCUAAAUUUCUCAGGACGUCCAUAGCAGCUCCGCUUUCUUUUCUGAAACGGCUUUCUCGAUACGAAAGAAAAAGCCCGACUAUAUAUAGCAUUACAUUAGCUGCGGCUUUCAGUAUCUUACUAAUGCAGCAAGGGAGGGA